rnacentral:lncRNA from 1 species
AUAUAUAUAAAUAUCUAGGUUUGUGUAAGUACACUCUAUGAUAUUUGCACAAUAAUGGAUUACAGGCAUGAGCUGCCACGCUUGGCCCAUAGUGGAAUUUCUUAAUAAUACAGAGUUAGUGGAACUAAGUACACAAAUUCAACAAAUUUUAAAUUGAAGGCCCCACAAUAGCUUCCAUCAGUAUGUCUAACCAGUUAGGAACCUAUUGCCCAAGACCAGGCAGGGAGUAAUACUGGUUGAACUAAGGUGAUGGUGUUGAAAGUGAUGAAAUAUGGCUGCAUUUUGGAUAUAUUUUGAAGUUGAC